rnacentral:rRNA from 1 species
UGGGGAAUAUUGCACAAUGGGCGCAAGCCUGAUGCAGCCAUGCCGCGUGUAUGAAGAAGGCCUUCGGGUUGUAAAGUACUUUCAGCGGGGAGGAAGGGAGUAAAGUUAAUACCUUUGCUCAUUGACGUUACCCGCAGAAGAAGCACCGGCUAACUCCGUGCCAGCAGCCGCGGUAAUACGGAGGGUGCAAGCGUUAAUCGGAAUUACUGGGCGUAAAGCGCACGCAGGCGGUUUGUUAAGUCAGAUGUGAAAUCCCCGGGCUCAACCUGGGAACUGCAUCUGAUACUGGCAAGCUUGAGUCUCGUAGAGGGGGGUAAAAUUCCAGGUGUAGCGGUGAAAUGCGUAGAGAUCUGGAGGAAUACCGGUGGCGAAGGCGGCCCCCUGGACGAAGACUGACGCUCAGGUGCGAAAGCGUGGGGAGCAAACAGG